CAGAGAGCUUCUUUUAUAGGACUGGGGUGAGGCUCAUAGGAGUGGGGUGGAGUUAAGUGAGGUAGUAUUAAGGGAUUGGAGGAGCCUGUGACAUCACUAGGAGGGGCUUGUGGCAUCACUGGUUACUCAGAGGUAGCAAGUAUCUGGUUACUUUUUGGCAGGAAGAGACAUCACGGGAAGAAGAUUGCUGUUCUUUUGAUAGAUGGGAGAAGUUAUGUUUUUAGGGCCUGAUGGAAAUGUGUGGAUGUAGAAAUGCCUGCUAUCCCUGUUGCCAUCCCAGUGAGGACCCCCACUCCCAUUAAGAAGAGGUCUAGAAUAAAAACCCGGGCCUAGUGCAUGCAAACUGGCCAUGAGAAGAUAGAAGUUCCUGGGAGAACAAAGCAAGAAGUGAAUUCAUUCAAGAUUGCACAAAAUGCCAUGAGGGACUAAUGGACAGAAAUGUGAUCUUUCAUGGCAGUGAUGCCAUUUCUCCUCUCCCAAGUGUCAUCCUACUUCCUCGGGCAACAUGGUGACUUCGACACCAAAAUAAGGGUUAAGAAACCAACCAACAGAUUGUUUGCAAUCCCACCAACUGAACCUACAUAUUUGAGUUUCCUACCUACCCAAAUGAGUAUUGGACUCAUGAGAACUGUGUUGAAAUUCCUUUUAUAGAGAUCUUGUUCCCAUACAUAUAAUUUUAAAGUAGGUCCGCUUGGAUUCAGAGAUACAACGAGGAAAUCAGGCUAGACUGAACAGUGAGCCAAGUCAUGGUACUGGAUUAUGUUGGGCAAAGGGCAAAGGGCAGCCCAAUUAAAUAACACAGUUUGUUAUGGAUCCCAGUGGUAAUAUGUGGCUCACUGAUGCCCACUCACCUUCGAGCGUCUGUCCUUGUUAAACUUGCCACUGCACUUUCAGCAAGUAGCGCUUUUGGACACAACUGUGAAGUGUGAGACUUAAGAAUAAAAGUGAUUUUUGUGCCUGAUUGACUCUUAGGGCAAAUGGAAAAUAAAUAAUUCUUAAGAACUCUAAUAGGAUUUACCGGUGGUUUUAGAUGUGCUAAAAGAUAAAGUAAUACGACAAGUAGCCACCAUGAGAGUUAAAGUGGGCUAACUAUGGUUAUGUAAUACAAAUGGGCUUGUGGAGUUGAAAGAUUUAUUUCUAAUUGAACAACAUUGGGCUUAUAUUCAUAAUGUUUAUUUAAUUUUACAUUUAAACUACUAAUGAAAUACUCUAAAUCUAAGAUGCUAAAAUUGUGUCAAAUUAGUACAAAUUCUGCUCGGCAUGGAAGAAAAUACUAUAAUUACUGAACAGUAGAAAUAUGACUGUUUGUAGUCCUUAGGCAUUACUACAAUUAAGACAUGACGUUUGUUAAGCUUUAAGAAUUAUUUGUUAGUAAUUCUUUUAAAAGAUUUAAAAAAUCCUUUUAAGGUUCAAGUUUGCCACAAAUCUUUUUUAUAUCGCUCAUAGUUCAAUAGAUUUGGUAUUGAAAAAGCUCUUUGAGGUCACUAUGUCCUGGUUCAUGACUCAGGAUCCAAGACUAAAUAUGAGUGAAUUCAAUUUUGACUUUGAUUUUAU
rnacentral:lncRNA from 1 species